rnacentral:rRNA from 1 species
UACGGGAGGCAGCAGUGGGGAAUAUUGCACAAUGGGCGCAAGCCUGAUGCAGCCAUGCCGCGUGUAUGAAGAAGGCCUUCGGGUUGUAAAGUACUUUCAGUCGUGAGGAAGGUGUUAAGGUUAAUAACCUUAGCAAUUGACGUUAGCGACAGAAGAAGCACCGGCUAACUCCGUGCCAGCAGCCGCGGUAAUACGGAGGGUGCGAGCGUUAAUCGGAAUUACUGGGCGUAAAGGGCACGCAGGCGGUUAAUUAAGUUGGAUGUGAAUCCCCGGGCUUAACCUGGGAAUGGCAUUCAAGACUGGUUAGCUAGAGUCUUGUAGAGGGGGUAGAAUUCCAUGUGUAGCGGUGAAAUGCGUAGAGAUGUGGAGGAAUACCGGUGGCGAAGGCGGCCCCUGGACAAGACUGACGCUCAUGUGCGAAAGCGUGGGGAGCAAACGAGGAUUAGAUACC